rnacentral:rRNA from 1 species
GAUGAACGCUGGCGGCGUGCCUAAUACAUGCAAGUCGAGCGGACGGACGAGAAGCUUGCUUCUUUGUUGUUAGCGGCGGACGGGAGAGUAACACGUGGAUAACCUACCUAUAAGACUGGGAUAACUUCGGGAAACCGGCGCUAAUACCGGAUGAUAUUUUGAACCGUAUGGUGCAAAAGUGAAAGACGGUGUUUGUGUCACUUCUCGCUGGAUCUGCGCUGCAUUAGGUAGUUGGUACGGUCAAGGCUUUUCAAGGGUGCGAGGCAUAGCCGACGUGAGGGGGUGGUCGCCGACACGGGAACGGGACCGGCGACAUGGGUCCUACGGGAGGCAGCAGACGGGAAUGUGCGGCAGUGGGCGGAAGCCUGACGCAGUAGCGCGGAGCGAGAGAUGGAGGCGUCGGGAUCGGAAUACCCGGUUAUUAGUGAAGAACAUAUGUGGAAGUAACUGUGCAGAGCUUGACGGUACCGAGUAAGAAAGCCCCGGCUAACUACGUG